rnacentral:rRNA from 1 species
AGACGCACUCGUGUCAGCAGCCGCGGUAAUACGAAGGGGCUAGCGUUGUUCGGAAUUACUGGGCGUAAAGCGACACGUAGGCGGAUAUUUAAGGUCAGGGGGUGAAACUCCCCAGAGCUCAACUCUGGAACUGCCUUUGAUACUGGGUAUCUUGAGUAUGGAAGAGGUAAGUGGAAUUCCGAGUGUAGAGGUGAAAUUCGUAGAUAUUCGGAGGAACACCAGUGGCGAAGGCGGCUUACUGGUCCAUUACUGACGCUGAGGUGCGAAAGC